AGAGGAAAAGAUUCAUGGACGGGUGAGCUCUCUCUCUUUCUCCUUUUAUUAUCUUUGGCAAUAUCUAGUCUGUCGAUCUCUCUCUCUCGCCCUCCUUUUAUCAUCUCUGACAAUAUCUAGUCUGUUGAAACUGUACUGGUGUUUUUCUUUUUUUCUAAAUGUAAUGUUCAACGCUAAGCUGUACCAGUGUUUUUCUUUCGUAGGUUUUAAACCAUUUGUUAUAUCU
rnacentral:misc_RNA from 1 species